UUAUUUAUUUGACCAUUUAUUCGAUUUACUUUAUUAUCCAAUUUAGGCAUUAAUGUUUUUCAAUGUCAUUUACAGUUGGUACUGUGACAAGUGCAUUGCCACCAAAAGUUUAUGACUAUAUGCAAGGAGAUAAAUGCCCAGGAAUGACAUUUUUCAAUAAUUGCAACUUAUGUUUAUGCAAUCAGAGCAAUCAUUUUGCUAUUUGCACACGUAUUAAAUGCCCAAAAAAUGGUCCUUGAAGAGGUAAUUGAACUUGAAGGUCCUUGAAUGGUAAAUUUUCAAUUUUUAUUUAUUUUAUAUUGAGUGCUUGAAUAAACAGGUUACGCUGC